rnacentral:rRNA from 1 species
AGCAGCCGCGGUAAUUCCAGCUCCAAUAGCGUAUAUUAAAGUUGUUGCAGUUAAAAGCUCGUAGUUGAAUUUUUGAUUCUACCAAUUGGUCCAUCUUUUAGAUGAGUACUGGUUGUGUGGGGUCUAUCCGCCUGGUGAUACGUAAUGUCCUUUAUUGGAUGUUGCGGGUAGUCAGGACCUUUACCUUGAAAAAAUUAGAGUGUUUAAAGCAGGCUUAUGCCGGAAUACAUUAGCAUGGAAUAAUAGAAUAGGACGAAGUUGUUUUAUUUUGUUGGUUUCUAGAACAACCGUAAUGAUUAAUAGGGAUAGUUGGGGGCAUUAGUAUUCAAUUGUCAGAGGUGAAAUCCUUGGAUUUAUUGAAGACUAACUACUGCGAAAGCAUUUGCCAAGGAUGUUUUCAUUAAUCAAGAACGAAAGUUAGGGGAUCGAAGACGAUCAGAUACCGUCGUAGUCUUAACCAUAAACUAUGCCGACUAGGGAUCGGGCGAUGUUGUUUCCAUGACUCGCUCGGCACCUUAUG